UCCCUCUUAGUUCAGUUGGCGGCACUUUAUAAGAAGCUUGGCGAACUGCUAAUCCGUAUUGUCACUGGUUCAAGUCCAGUAGAGGGAGCCA
rnacentral:tRNA from 1 species